CAGCCGCCGCGGGAAUACGUAGGUGGCGAGCGUUGUCCGGAAUUAUUGGGCGUAAAGCGAGCGCAGGCGGUUAGAUAAGUCUGAAGUUGAAGGCUGUGGCUUAACCAUAGUACGCUUUGGAAACUGUUUAACUUGAGUGCAAGAGGGGAGAGUGGAAUUCCAUGUGUGGCGGUGAAAUGCGUAGAUAUAUGGAGGAACACCGGUGGCGAAAGCGGCUCUCUGGCUUGUAACUGACGCUGAGGCUCGAAAGCGUGGGGAGCAAACAGGAUUAGAUACCCCAGUAGUCCCUGUCUCUUAUACA
rnacentral:rRNA from 1 species